rnacentral:rRNA from 1 species
GACGAACGCUGGCGGCGUGCUUAACACAUGCAAGUCGAACGGAAAGGCCCUGCUUUUGUGGGGUGCUCGAGUGGCGAACGGGUGAGUAACACGUGAGUAACCUGCCCUUGACUUUGGGAUAACUUCAGGAAACUGGGGCUAAUACCGGAUAGGAGCUCCUGCUGCAUGGUGGGGGUUGGAAAGUUUCGGCGGUUGGGGAUGGACUCGCGGCUUAUCAGCUUGUUGGUGGGGUAGUGGCUUACCAAGGCUUUGACGGGUAGCCGGCCUGAGAGGGUGACCGGCAACAUGGGGAUGGAGAUAGGCCCCGGCCUCCAACGGGGGGCAGCGGGGGGAAAUAUGGCACAAGGGGGGGAGGCGGGAGGCAGCACCGCCGGGGGGGGGAGGAGGGCUUGGGGUUUGAAACCCGGUUCCGCCUGUGACGAGGCGUGGGUGAGGGAAAGGGGUAAAGAAGCCCCGGCGGACUACGUG